AUGACAUCGACCCCGCAGCCUCCCCGCGAUCUCGCGCACGCCGCCCCGCCCGCGCAGGACCUCACCGGCCUCGGCCUCGGCCUCGCGGCCGCGAGGUCCCUCCGCCACCGCCCACCUCGCCAAGGAUCGAUGCCUUCAGGUUCUGUGGAGCACCAGACCAUUUCAGGCUCACUGAUCCACUCAAUGAUUCAGUUCUGCGGAGCACCAGAGUACUUCAUGUUCAAUGAUCCGCAGCCGGUGAUCCCACACCAUGUGGCCGCGGAACCCAGUCACAAUGCUCCCGUGGCCACCCUCUCCAGGGCCACCAACACAGAGACUGACAACCCCGAAGACUGGGAGUUCAUCUCGGAUGAGUCGCUCAACUACAUCAGCCGGAUGCUCAUGGAGGAGGACAUUGAUGAGAAGGUCAGCGUGUACCAGGAGGAGUCGGCCACGCUCCGUGCUACCGCAAAGCCCUUCUAUGACAUCCUUGGGCACAAGUUCCCGCCAUCCCCUGACCGCACGCUCACGACUUGGUCCCUGGACAGCCCCAGUGAGAGCAGCAGCAGCGGUCAUGCCCAGUCCUUGUCCAGUGUGGGUACUAGCGGCAGCAUCGGUGGUGCGGUUCAUAGCAACCAGUGCCAUAAUGUUGGACACUCUGAGCAGCUGGAAGCUUAUCGCGGCUUGUGUGGCCGAUCUUCUCAGCCACUGGUUGCCCCAUCAAGUGGUGUUUCUGAUGCAGCAGAGUCCCUAGAAGAUCCUUUGAUCACCAACGGCAGGAUCCCCGAGUAUUUGUUCGAGAGCCUUCCAACUUGGGAUUUCAGGAGAGGUGUCGAGGAAGCACAGAAGUUUCUCCCUGGUGGUGAUAAGCUAGUAAUUGAUUUAGAAGCUGCUGGUGUCUCAAAGCCUCAAGAAGCAGUGAAAGCCAUUCCUUUCAAUGUCAGCAGGACAGAGGUCUUGAAGGCCAAGAAAAACAGACAGAGCGAAGAUCUUGACUUGAUAGAAGGACGAAACAUUAAACAAUCUGCAUUCUGUUCUGAUGAGCCUGAUGACUGGGUUGAAAUGUUUGACGAUUUGUUUCGUCAAACUGAAAAGAAGGCUACAGUUCUGCGAGAAAAGAUGCGCAGCGAAGCUUCCAAGAAUUCUCAGGUCACUCAAGCGAAAGGAACAACUGGGGUGAAGACACGGGGCAGGAAGCCGACAAAAAAUGAUGUGGUGGACCUUAGGACCAUCCUCAUCCACUGUGCACAGGCAGUGGCAGCUGAUGACCGCCGAACUGCUAAUGAGUUGCUAAAGCAAAUAAAACAGCAUUCCAAGGUAAAUGGGGAUGGCAGCCAGAGGCUGGCGUUUUGCUUUGCACAGGGUCUCGAGGCUCGCUUGGCUGGCACUGGGAGCCAGCAGUACCAUAGGCUUGUAGCAAAGCGGACAACCGCGUCCGACAUGCUUAAGGGGUACCAUCUUUACUUUGCAGCAUGCCCAUUCAAGAGGCUCUCACAUUUCCUCUCCAAUCAAACAAUCUUGAGCAUGACAAAAAAUGCAAAGAAGGUGCACAUCAUUGACUUUGGCAUUUAUUUUGGCCUCCAAUGGCCAUGCCUCAUCAGGCGUCUCUCCAAGAGGGAAGGUGGUCCACCAAUUCUUCGCAUCACGGGAAUUGAUGUACCCGAGCCUGGUUUCCGCCCUACCGAGCGCAUCGAAGAGACGGGACAGAGGCUUGCGGAGUAUGCCAAGAAGUUUGAGGUGCCUUUUGAGUACCAUGGCAUAGCAUCAAAGUGGGAAACCAUCCGUGCUGAGGAUCUCAAGGUUGGCAAAGACGAAGUGGUGAUUGUUAAUUGCCUGUAUCGUUUCAGAAAUCUUAUUGACGAAACAGUGGCUGUAGACAGCCCUAGGAAUAGGGUGCUCAACACUAUAAGGCAAGUGAAUCCAGCAAUUUUCAUCCAUGGGAUUGUGAAUGGGUCAUACAGUGUUCCUUUCUUCAUCACACGUUUCCGUGAGGCAUUGUUCCAUUUCUCUGCAUUGUUUGACAUGCUUGAGGCAACUGUGCCACGGGAUGAUGACCAGCGUAGGCUCAUAGAGAGGGAUCUCUUUGGCCGAGAGGCACUCAAUGUGAUUGCAUGUGAGGGCUCAGACAGAGUAGAGAGACCAGAGACGUAUAAACAGUGGCAAGUGAGGAACCUGAGGGCUGGAUUUGUUCAGUCUCCGUUAAACCAGGACAUUGUGAUAAAAGCCAAAGACAAAGUGAAAGAUAUAUAUCACAAAGAUUUUGUCAUAGAUGAAGACAGUGGAUGGCUCCUCCAAGGGUGGAAAGGAAGGAUAAUUUAUGCUAUAACUACAUGGAAGCAUAAUAACAGUUAG
rnacentral:rRNA from 1 species